AGAAUCAACGCUGGCGGCGUGCCUAACACAUGCAAGUCGAUCGAGAAAGUGGAGCAAUCCAUGAGUAAAGAGGCGCACGGGUGAGUAACACGUGACUAACCUACCUUCAAGUGGGGAAUAACCUGGGGAAACCCGGGCUAAUACCGCAUAAUACCUACGGGUCAAAGGAGCAAUUCGCUUGAAGAGGGGGUCGCGGCAGAUUAGUUAGUUGGCGGGGUAAUGGCCCACCAAGACGAUGAUCUGUAUCCGGCCUGAGAGGGCGCACGGACACACUGGAACUGAAACACGGUCCAGACUCCUACGGGAGGCAGCAGUGGGGAAUUUUGCGCAAUGGGGGAAACCCUGACGCAGCAACGCCGCGUGGAGGAUGAAGUCCCUUGGGACGUAAACUCCUUUCGACCGGGACGAUUAUGACGGUACCGGAUGAAGAACGCCCCGGCUAACUUCGCGCCAGCAGCCGC
rnacentral:rRNA from 1 species